AGCGAACGCUGGCGGCAGGCCUAACACAUGCAAGUCGAACGGAUCCUUCGGGAUUAGUGGCGGACGGGUGAGUAACACGUGGGAACGUGCCCUUUGGUUCGGAACAACUCAGGGAAACUUGAGCUAAUACCGGAUGUGCCCUUCGGGGGAAAGAUUUAUCGCCAUUGGAGCGGCCCGCGUCUGAUUAGCUAGUUGGUGAGGUAACGGCCCACCAAGGCGACGAUCAGUAGCUGGUCUGAGAGGAUGAUCAGCCACACUGGGACUGAGACACGGCCCAGACUCCUACGGGAGGCAGCAGUGGGGAAUCUUGCGCAAGGGGCGAAAGCCUGACGAAGCCAUGCCGCGUGAAUGAUGAAGGUCUUAGGAUUGUAAAAUUCUUUCAGCGGGGACGAUAAUGACGGUACCCGCAGAAGAAGCGCCGGCUAACUUCGUG
rnacentral:rRNA from 1 species